CAGUGUGCAGCUUUCCAGCAAUAUCACCAAUCAGCUCCUGAGGACAACAGGAAGACUUCCAUCAGUGUCUGUAUUCUAAGCAGGAGACUUCCCACAAGAACAGACCUCCUCCCAGCCUGGAAGGGACUCAGCUCUAGGAUUCUAGACUGUCUCCACAUCUCAACAAUGUGCCUGAGUGGACAGUGGGCAGAAGCCUACAGAGUUUGGCAGGGCCCUGUGUCACACAGCACCAGCUAUGAGGAGCAACGCCAGACACUUGCUGGUGGGAGCAAGAGGAAAUCUGCUUCGCUGAGGGUCUUAAGAAGACCUUGCUACUGCACCCGGUUGGUCUUGCAGUGAAAGAACAAGCCUAAAAAUCUCCUGUUCCAGCAAGACCGAGGCUGCUGACUGAGUAAAGGACUUACAUGGCAGCACGUUCCACCAGGGUCUUGAUGAGCUGCAGCAGGUGAGUGGAGAUGAUAGAGAGGGAAUUCUUCAUGAACAGCUUCAA